rnacentral:piRNA from 1 species
CCCAGGAUUCCUCGGAUGGUAACGGAC